UUUACAACAACAUUUUUGCCUUACAAUAGAUAAUUUAUUUAUUAUAGUAAAAGCAAGUAAAUAAUUCUAUAAUAUUGGUUACUCAAAUAUUAAAAACUCUGAUACGUGUUGAUAAAAUUUAGGAGGUUUUGUAACAAUCGGAUGACGUUCAAGACAUACAGCACUUAAUAGAUCCCACUUUGAUUUGGAGGAAGUAUUUAUUAAUCUUUUGCAAUGCCAUUGAGAAGCAGAAAAUGUAUUUUUUACUUCUUUUAAAAUGCCUGUAAAAAUUGAUUCAAUUACAAAUAUAUUACACUAAAAUGGAA